CAGCCGCCACGGUAAUACGUAGGUCCCGAGCGUUGUCCGGAUUUAUUGGGCGUAAAGCGAGCGCAGGCGGUUAGAUAAGUCUGAAGUUAAAGGCUGUGGCUUAACCAUAGUACGCUUUGGAAACUGUUUAACUUGAGUGCAGAAGGGGAGAGUGGAAUUCCAUAUGUAGCGGUGAAAUGCGUAGAUAUAUGGAGGAACACCGGUGGCGAAAGCGGCUCUCUGGUCUGUAACUGACUCUGAGGCUCGAAAGCGUGGGGAGCAAACAGGAUUAGAUACCCCCGUAGUCCCUGUCUCUUAUACA
rnacentral:rRNA from 1 species